AUUGAACGCUGGCGGCAUGCCUUACACAUGCAAGUCGAACGGUAACGCGGGGCAACCUGGCGACGAGUGGCGAACGGGUGAGUAAUGCAUCGGAACGUGCCCAGUAGUGGGGGAUAGCCCGGCGAAAGCCGGAUUAAUACCGCAUACGACCUACGGGUGAAAGGGGGGGACCGUAAGGCCUCGCGCGCCUGGAGAGGCCGAUGGCCGUUUAGGUUGUUGGUGGGGUAAAGGCCUACCAAGCGGACGACCUGUAGCUGGUCUGAGAGGACGACCAGCCACACUGGGACUGAGACACGGCCCAGACUCCUACGGGAGGCAGCAGUGGGGAAUUUUGGACAAUGGGGGCAACCCUGAUCCAGCCAUGCCGCGUGCGGGAAGAAGGCCUUCGGGUUGUAAACCGCUUUUGUCAGGGAAGAAACGCUCUGGGCUAAUACCCUGGGGUAAUGACGGUACCUGAAGAAUAAGCACCGGCUAACUACGUGCCAGCCGCCGCCGUAA
rnacentral:rRNA from 1 species